rnacentral:rRNA from 1 species
UGGGGAGUAUUGGACAAUGGGCGCAAGCCUGAUCCAGCCAUGCCGCGUGAGUGAUGACGGCCUUAGGGUUGUAAAGCUCUUUCGCACGCGACGAUAAUGACGGUAGCGUGAGAAGAAGCCCCGGCUAACUUCGUGCCAGCAGCCGCGGUAAUACGAAGGGGGCUAGCGUUGUUCGGAAUCACUGGGCGUAAAGGGUGCGUAGGCGGGAUCUUAAGUCAGGGGUGAAAUCCCGAGGCUCAACCUCGGAACGGCCUUUGAUACUGGGGUCCUUGAGUCCGGAAGAGGUGAGUGGAACUGCGAGUGUAGAGGUGAAAUUCGUAGAUAUUCGCAAGAACACCGGUGGCGAAGGCGGCUCACUGGUCCGGAACUGACGCUGAGGCACGACAGCGUGGGGAGCAAACA